GCUGGCGGUGCGCCUUAUGCAUGCAAGUCGAGCGAAGCUUUUCAGUAGUUUACUACAGAAAAUGACUGAGCGGCGAACGGGUGAGUAACGCGUGAGCAAUCUACCUUAGUUACAGGGAUAGCCCGAGGAAACUCGGAUUAAUACCUGAUAUUCUUUACAUUUCGCAUGAAAUUAAAAGGAAAGGUCAGCCGAACUAAGAUGAGCUCGCGUUCUAUCAGCUAGUUGGUGAGGUAAAAGCUCACCAAGGCAACGACGGAUAGCUGGUCUGAGAGGACGAUCAGCCACACUGGGACUGAGACACGGCCCAGACUCCUACGGGAGGCUGCAGCAGGGAAUAUUGUGCAAUGAACGAAAGUUUGACACAGCGACACCGCGUGUGGGAUGACGGAUCUAGGUUUGUAAACCACUUUCAGGAGGGAAGAAAAUGACGGUACCUCCACAAGAAGCCCCGGCCAACUACGUGCCAGCAGCCGCGGUAAUACGUAGGGGGCGAGCGUUGUCCGGAUUUAUUGGGCGUAAAGAGCUCGUAGGCGGUUCAACAAGUCGGUCGUAAAAGUUCAGGGCUCAACCCUGAAAUGUCGAUCGAUACUGUUGUGACUAGGAUACGGUAGAGGUGAGUGGAAUUCCGAGUGUAGCGGUGAAAUGCGUAGAUAUUCGGAGGAACACCAAUUGCGAAGGCAGCUCACUGGGCCGCUAUCGACGCUGAG
rnacentral:rRNA from 1 species